UGCACAUGAGCAUCUGCAACCCCAAAAGCUCCACUGAUCACACAAAUUCCUAUGAAAGUUCCGAGUCCUCCUCUACCAGAGGUAGCUAAAUCCAACUAUAAAUAAAACAUAGAGGAGAGAAAUAAUAAUUGACUCAAAUGAUAUGACUUUG